CGGAUACCCCUCCGCGCACCCUAAGUGGCUGCACGCUCCGGGAGGCCGGUGCAGUGCGUAGCCCCUUGUUGCCGAGGUCGGGCUCCUGCUUCUAUUCCACAUUCUGGACCAACACCUGGCACAGUGCUUGGAGCUGGAGCUGGAGCUGGAGCAGGAAGACAAGCCUGAGCAGGAAGCUGGACGGAAACACCAGCCCUGAGCUCUCUGACAGUCACAGUCCGUGAUGUUUGGACAUUUGGGCAUACCACACUUCUCUUCCUUACCUCUCCGAAUCCCAGGAAUCAGGUUGGCCCUGGAGGACCACUGGCCACACAGUCGCCAAGGAAGGACACCCCGUAGCAGCUUCCCGUCUUCCAUAGGGGUAUGAUUCCUCCCUAUUAAGUAAGUACAGACCCUUGGAGCCAUGGAGAGGAGGCAUCAGAUACUCAACAGACAGGAAGGCAGAGACCCCAGACUUCCAGGGCCUCAGACUGGAGGUUUGUCACAGUCAAUGGUUCAGGAGGUGCUCUGUGGGUGCCAGGGCUUACUUCUGCCAGAGCGUGGGUGGUGAAAACAGCAGAGUUUUAUAGUUAGAUCUGGUUCCAAAACCCAGCUCUGCCAACCUACCAGUUGUGUGACCUUAGUCAAAGUACUUGACACCUCUGAGGGACUCAGUUUCCCUCAUGUGUAAGUCAUAGGAGCUAAAAUCUAGGAUAUGUUUGUAAAUGCAUAGCAUCUUUCUGGGAGUACACAUAAGACCGUAGUAACUGUGGUUGCCCCUGGGGAGGGGACCUGGGGGACAGGAAACGAGGCUAACUUUCACCAUAUAUCCUUUUGAAUCUUUGGAAUUUUGUACCCUAUGCUGUACUACCUAUUAAAACAGUAGGGAAAUUUACUUUUUGAAAAGAACAAAGUAGAACGAGAGCACGUUUAUGAAAGUAACUAAGCAUCAUGUAUGGCUUGCAGAAGGUACUUGAUAAAAGAUUUUUUUUCUUUCUUUCCCUCAGCCUAACCCCAGCCAGUUUGCUGGGCCAGGAGGAAGUGGGCAUGGGGGUGGAGUUAGGGGAGGGGGUGUGAGUAAUGGAUGUGCAGGUCCUGGCAGGAAUUGCCACCUGGAGAUUCUUACAUACUCUCCGUUUGUCUUAUUCCUGUAUGCCUCACCUGUCUGGUCUCCCUUCCAGCCAGAGCUAAGGGGGUGGCUCUCUGCAAAGCCCCAGGGACCGCCCCCCCACACACACACACACUGCCUCCUGAGACACAAUCACUGUGCCCUCUCCACCCAGAGUCCAGGGGCAAUGCUGCAUUAUCCAGAGAGGGCAGGGCUGGCAGAGGAGGGAACAGAUUAUCACCCCAGCCACUAUUCUGCUGGCUUACCAGGCAGUUUAAGAACUCAAAAGUCAGCCCAGUACCAGGCAAAGAUGAGGCUACUGUUGACUGCUGCCCUGGGCAGAAAAACAGGUCACUAGGACUAGAGUAGGCAGAGGCCAGGGCAGUGGAGAAGAGAACCUCUGGGCGCUGUGCGUCAGGAUGUGUGAGAGCAAAACAAGGAUCUGCGCUAGUGCAAGGAAACCCCUGAACCGUCAGAGGUUGGGGUAGCCCUGUGCUGUUUCACAAAGCUUCAUUACUCCAAAAAAUAUUUAUGAAGCCACUAUUAUGUACCAAGCAGUGGGACACACCCUUACGGCCACUAGUUAGAGCCAUAAGAAGAGGCCUACAAUACAGGUAGAACUGCGAAGCGAGAGGAAUGCAGAGGAGAAAAUGCCUACGUCUCCUGGCCAAGGUGUCUGAGUACCUAUGAUGUGCUAGGCACUGGAGUGAGUCUUCGCAGCCAUCCUGGGAUGUGGGUCUUGCUGUGCUCCUUUUAUGAAGGAGGCCUCUCAGCUCAGAGAGGCAGACUCAGGUGCCCAGGAUGACACAACAGAGGCAGGGUUUGCACCAGGUCUUUAGGACUCCAAGACCUGUGUGUUUUCCUAUGUGCCACGCUGAACCUAUGAAAGGCGAGGAGGACAUCACCAGGUGGCCAAGGGAGGAAUGACAUUCCAAGUAGGUGGAAUGGAGGGGCAAAGGCUUGGAGUUGAGAGAGGCCAGUGCAUGGGGGGAACAGCAUGGCUGAAGCCCAGAGUGAAAGUAAAGGGAAAGCCCAUGCUUGUGUGCCAUCGCAGCAGCAAAUGGACGUGUAGCCAGCCAGUGAGGAGCCAGUGAGGAGGGGAUGGGGCAUUGGCCCUUUCUUCAUUUGGGCUUCAUAUCCCCCACUUGCUCCUGGGGUUGGGGAGCUUAUUUUUGAGGCUUGGAGUUAGAGGAGACGGCAGGGAAGAUGUGGGUAGGACGCUGCAGUAAGAAACCAGGGAACAAUGAGAAACAGAGACAGGGAGAAAGGAACCCCCUCCAGUCAUAACAAAGGAAAGUGGCAAGUGGUGGGGGACGGCAGGGAAGGGGAUGCAAGGCCUCUCCCACACAACCCCCAGAGGGCUUGAGGUCGGAGACUGGGCUGGCGGAGACACAAAAGCUUUCCUGUUGGCUGAGGAGGAGAAACCAGCUCAGUGGGAAGAGGGGCCUGGUAGUCAUUGUGGAUGAGGAUGGGAGCCAGCUCAGAACAGCGACCAUGCCCACUCAACUGCCCCGCUCUGUGCCCGUGGCCCACCUCUCUCUCAACAGUCUCUGAGUCUACCCCUGAUAAGGGUGGGCUCCUCCCUGCCCUCCUGAUGAGGUAGGAAAUGUGCGCUCAUUUCAGAUUUUGCACACCUCCACUCCCACCCUACCCCCAUCCCCAUUCUACCCCUACCCCCACCCUACCCCAGGUCAUGCCAGCAGGUGGACAGGGCUACUGGGCAAAGGAAGGCAGGAUUUCCCCCUUCCACCCACCCUGUCAGUCCCAUACCCCUCCCCUUACUCUAUUCCCAGAAACAGAGGACAGCCGCUAUGCCUCAGGCGGGAUAGCCUUGUGUUUGUUCUCUGGGUGACUUCACUGUAAAUUGACUUCCCUGAAGAGGGGUAGAGAACAGGGGACAGAGGCAGGAAGGGGGAACAGGCUUCACCCAGGACCCAGAAGCUCCUACCCAUGCCCCAAAUUCACACAGAAUUCCUCCCCAUGUGCACUCACAGCCCAUCUUUUGGUCCUGCUCUGUCUUCAUGGACAAGAAUGGGGGCAGCAUUUCUACAGGGAGGCACUAGUGUGAGGAGACCCGGGAGAGGCAGGGACAUUGGUCUUGGGGGUUCGGUAUAUGCUGAGCAUGGGCCUGUGGCCCCCUUCCAGGUGCCUUGGGGGUGGGAGCUGGAGUGGAGGUGGACAGUGCCAGCAGAGGCAAGGUUGGGGUGAAACAGGCCAUUUCAGAGCCCAAGGGCUUCAGCUCUCCCCUCUCUGCUGGACACAGAGAUCCUUCCUGGAUUGCCUCCAGCUUUCUUGGAAAGGCUCUUCACCUCCACCUGACCUCCCCUCUGGCUCCCACACAACAGGAACUCUCCUUGAAGAAGCGACUUGCAGCAGAGGAAACAAAGGCAUCUCUGUACAAUCUGCCUCUGCCACCGAGGAAUGGUUAGGUCAAGAUGACCGUAAUCUAUUCUCCCUGGGCAUCAUCAGGGCCUUCGCCACUAACCUGGUGUCCAAGGGCAGGGCAGAAACAGGACUUGGGAAAAUUCUUCCCUUCCCCCAUAAACUCAAACCAACACACAGGUCACACUGCCUCGUUCCAUAGAGCAGGAGCAUGGGCUGACUUGGAGAUGGGCAGGCCACGUGGAGUGCCACAGAACAAUUAUGGGCUAGGCCAGUCAAAGGAGACAUCUUCACUCUUCGGAUGUGUGCUGGAGUUAGCAGAAGUGAAGACCCUGGCACAGGGCCAGGGAACUUGGGUCCUUGAGCCAGCUGUGCACUUACUGGCCAGAUAGCAGUGGACAGGUUUCUUUCCUAGACUACUCAAAGGGGAUGAUUCUGGCCCUGCCUACCUUCCAGGUGGUUCCAGUGAUGAGUUGAGUUGAAGAAUGCAACCAUGUUGGUACACAAAUGUGCCAUGAUUCAGGAUAUGUGCAUGAUGUGCUAACUACAGACUAAGCUAGGAAUCGUUAUUACGCCUAAUAAAAUAUGGUCAGUCUUCUUUGGGGGAAUGUAUUCCCAUAAAACUUUUUAAAAAUCCUUCCUUAUUCCCCAUGUAAUGCUGCAACUUGGAAUUGGGGCUGAUGGGCAGUUAGGGGAGGCCAGCCUGGGACCCCAGCUCAGCCCAGACCAUAGGUAGUUUCUGAUCUUUCUGAACCCCAUUCCUUAGCCCUCAGUUUUCUCCUCUAUAGUGUGGGUCCCUAAAACCGCUAGGGUGCUUUGUGGUGAGAAAUAGCAGAGACCAAACCAGGGGACUGAAAGCAAAAAGAAACCCCAAAUUUGACAUUUCCGGGUAGUUGUGUUAUCCGGAGCUGUGACCACAGUCACCUCUGCCCCCAACCCAACUCUGACACCCUUCCCUCCUCCACUCCUUUGGGUGGCCUUUGCCUAUCCUGGGAAAGCACCAAAGCGCCUACCUUUCCCACUGCGCCUCAAAGGGAGAACAGAGGCACAAAGAAAUGGAGAGAAACCCAGACAGAAUUAAAUGGAGAACCAGACAAAGACCGAGAGAGAAAGAACCAAAAGGAGGAGAAUCAAAAAACAAGAGGAGGAAACGUGCAAUGAGGACACUGCGAUUCAGAGCUUCACAGUCUGAGAGGCCAACUGGGAAGAGCCAGAGGUCAGCCAGGAAAACAGCUGCCACCACUGGGCACAAGGUGGUGGUGGAGGGUAGAGGAGGGCUCUGAAGGCAAUGGGGCACAUCUUUGUAGGCCAACCUCUCCAGUUUUGUUCACUGGCACCUCAAUGCUAGCUUUUUAAGGACCCAGAACUCCCCAUCCCCUAGCCAAGCCCAGCCCAACCCAGCCAGAUGUUCAGUAGGUAGGGCUGCCAGCUGGAGCAGCAGGCCCCUUCAGGCCCUGGGGAGGAGGCUGGAGAAGCUGCUGCCUGGAAGUGGGCAGGCAGAGCCCCCACUCUGGAGCCGGCACCCCCAUAUCACCCUCUCCAGAUGCCCAGGGGUGGGUGCAUGGCAAGAGUGGUCCUCUGCCCUCCAGAUGUGACUCAGAGGACUUGGAAAUCCAAGGAAUCUGCCCCCACUGACUGUGACUUACCCACCUGCUCAAAGUGAGGGUCUGGAAGGCACAGGUGCCAAGCUGGGCCUACCCUCCCUGUGGCAAUGGGUUUGGAUCUGCCACUGACAAGCUGUGUGACACUGGCCAAGUCACUUCCCCUCUCCAGCCUCUGUUUCCCCAUUUGUAAGAUCAUCUUUAUGAUUGUUUCCAGCGAUGACACUUGCCUCUCAUUACAGGUGACCCCCUAGCUCUGUGCGUCUGACCCUCCCCUGCCAAAGCCAUUGCACAGGGUGGGGAGAGAAGGGAGGAGGAGGCCUUGUGCUUCCUCCUCCCUAGGGCUCCCCUGUGGAACAUCUAACGAGCAAGCUUUCCUCAAUCCUUUGCACACUCCUUUACCGUUUUCAAUUCCUUUCCUCGUGAUCCUGCCAACUAAGACUGUGACCAGACCUGGAAGUGUGUGUGUAGGACCCAGGCAUUCCAGCUUCUGCAGUGUUAAACUUCGGUUUUUCUCUGAAGUAAAAAGAACCAAAGUGGGGAGGGAGUGAGGGGCAAGAAGGGGGGAGGGAGUGGAGGGGAGAAAGAAAUGGAGAGAAAAUGGCAA